ensembl:lncRNA VIM-AS1 VIM antisense RNA 1
GAGGCCCAGCUACUUGCAUGGGCGCAGCCUUACUUCUCCCGGAGGCGCAUGAUGUCCUCGGCCAGGUUGUCGCGCUCCACCUCGACGCGGGCUUUGUCGUUGGUUAGCUGGUCCACCUGCCGGCGCAGCUCCCGCAUCUCCUCCUCGUAGAGGUCCCCCAGGCGCGACUUGCCUUGGCCCUUGAGCUGCUCGAGCUCGGCCAGCAGGAUCUUAUUCUGCUGCUCCAGGAAGCGCACCUUGUCGAUGUAGUUGGCGAAGCGGUCAUUCAGCUCCUGCAGCUCCACCUUCUCGUUGGUGCGGGUGUUCUUGAACUCGGUGUUGAUGGCGUCGGCCAGCGAGAAGUCCACCGAGUCCUGCAGGAGCCGCACCCCGGGCACGCUGCUCCGCAGGCGCACGGCAGAGGAGCGCGUGGCAUACACGCCGCCCGGGGACGAGGCGUAGAGGCUGCGGCUGGUGCUGGGGCGCAGCGCGCUGCCCAGGCUGUAGGUGCGGGUGGACGUAGUCACGUAGCUCCGGCUGGAGCUCGGCCGGCUCGCGGUGCCCGGGCCGCCGAACAUCCUGCGGUAGGAGGACGAGGACACGGACCUGGUGGACAUGGCUGCGGAGGGUGGCGAUGGCCUGGGCGGCGGCGGUGGCGCGGACUGGCUCCCGGAGAAGAGGCGAACGAGGGCGCGACAGCAAAGCUCCCUUUGGAUGACAUAGAUUUAUUACUUAGUAGUAUAUUAUGUAUUGGCUGUCCCACAUUUUGAAAUUUAAUGGACUCGUGGUGAUCAGAAUAAAAGAAGCCUUCGAUGUGAGGCCCAGGCAUUGAGUACCAUGUGUGCGAUUCACAAGCCUUGGCAUCUGAACAAUUUUUUGGAAGGAUCCAUCAGGACAACACGUCGGGGGUGUACUAGUGAAGUGAUUUUCCAAAUGUGCUACUCAGACCUGUAGCAUCAGCAUCACCGGAUAAUUUGUUAGAAAUUCCAACUGUUAGGCCCCACUUUAGACCAACUGAAUGUGAAACUCUGGGAGUACGUGGGGCCCAGCAAUUUGUGUUUUUACAAGACUUACCAGGUGAUUCUGAGAACCACUGUGCUAGUGAAUUGUUCCUGUCUGUGGCCACGUAGAAUAAGAAAACCAUAGGGUUGGAAAAUGGGGAAACUGGUGAGUGUUCGCUUAUGAGGAAAUGAAGAAUAGAUAGAAAAGAAUUAGUUAACUUUUGGAAUUCAAAAGAGAAGCAGUUUGUAAAAGCCAGGAAUUUGAUUUGAAGGACUAAUUGCUUGCAGAAUCUUUGCUUUCUCAGAGAGGGGCAAUCCAGAUCACUAGGUUACCGUGAAAUAUGUUGGUAUGGCUCUAAAAUUCUAGAAUAAUCUCUCUAGUGAGAAAAGGCAUACCUUUCCAUAUUAGGACAAAACUUCAAAUCAGGUUUGUAAAAUCCUAUAAGAUUAUUGUAUCCCAUUGCCAUGGCCAACUUGUUUGUCUCUGGAGAUCCCAGUUUCUACAUCUGAAAACCAUAUGCAUUCCUGCUCACCAGGAAUUAUCUCGCUGAAUGAAGCAAGAGAUUCAGGAUGUGUAAGAGAAUUUAUGAAGCAUUUGGAUUACCAAGAAAUGUGAAGUAUAAAGAUCAAGAAUGAUUAUUACAAACACUGAUGGUAAAGAGGUGUUUCGAAGUCGAUGCAAAAAAUGAGUUGCUUAUUUCAGUCUCUCUUUGAUAUAUCUGCCUUUUUAGUGCUGACUCUAUCAUGUAUUCACUAUUUGAUUUUCAGUGAAUCACAUUUUUUAAAGCUUUUAAUCUGUUUCCUCAAAAAAUAUAUUUUUUAAAAAUAUUUACUCAGGAUUGUUGUGAGAAUAAAAUUGAUUCGAUUGAUAUUUCAAAAAAGAAAUAUAUUUUUAAAAAAUAAAGCAAUACCAUUUUUGGA